rnacentral:rRNA from 1 species
CUUGCUUCUCUUGAGAGCGGCGGACGGGUGAGUAAUGCCUAGGAAUCUGCCUGGUAGUGGGGGAUAACGUUCGGAAACGGACGCUAAUACCGCAUACGUCCUACGGGAGAAAGCAGGGGACCUUCGGGCCUUGCGCUAUCAGAUGAGCCUAGGUCGGAUUAGCUAGUUGGUGGGGUAAUGGCUCACCAAGGCGACGAUCCGUAACUGGUCUGAGAGGAUGAUCAGUCACACUGGAACUGAGACACGGUCCAGACUCCUACGGGAGGCAGCAGUGGGGAAUAUUGGACAAUGGGCGAAAGCCUGAUCCAGCCAUGCCGCGUGUGUGAAGAAGGUCUUCGGAUUGUAAAGCACUUUAAGUUGGGAGGAAGGGUUGUAGAUUAAUACCCUGCAAUUUUGACGUUACCGACAGAAUAAGCACCGGCUAACUCUGUGCCAGCAGCCGCGGUAAUACAGAGGGUGCAAGCGUUAAUCGGAAUUACUGGGCGUAAAGCGCGCGUAGGUGGUUUGUUAAGUUGGAUGUGAAAUCCCCGGGCUCAACCUGGGAACUGCAUUCAAAACUGACUGACUAGAGUAUGGUAGAGGGUGGUGGAAUUUCCUGUGUAGCGGUAAAAUGCGUAGAUAUAGGAAGGAACACCAGUGGCGAAGGCGACCACCUGGACUAAUACUGACACUGAGGUGCGAAAGCGUGGGGAGCAAACAGGAUUAGAUACCC